GAUGAACGCUGGCGGCGUGCCUAAUACAUGCAAGUCGAGCGAACAGAUGAGGGGCUUGCUCCUCUGACGUUAGCGGCGGACGGGUGAGUAACACGUGGAUAACCUACCUAUAAGACUGGGAUAACUUCGGGAAACCGGAGCUAAUACCGGAUAAUAUAUUGAACCGCAUGGUUCAAUAGUGAAAGACGGUUUUGCUGUCACUUAUAGAUGGAUCCGCGCCGCAUUAGCUAGUUGGUAAGGUAACGGCUUACCAAGGCAACGAUGCGUAGCCGACCUGAGAGGGUGAUCGGCCACACUGGAACUGAGACACGGUCCAGACUCCUACGGGAGGCAGCAGUAGGGAAUCUUCCGCAAUGGGCGAAAGCUUGACGGAGCAACGCCGCGUGAGUGAUGAAGGUCUUCGGAUCGUAAAACUCUGUUAUUAGGGAAGAACAAAUGUGUAAGUAACUAUGCACGUCUUGACGGUACCUAAUCAGAAAGCCACGGCUAACUACGUG
rnacentral:rRNA from 1 species